GACGAACGCUGGCGGCGUGCUUAACACAUGCAAGUCGAACGGAAAGGCCCUGCUUUUGUGGGGUGCUCGAGUGGCGAACGGGUGAGUAACACGUGAGUAACCUGCCCUUGACUUUGGGAUAACUUCAGGAAACUGGGGCUAAUACUGGAUAGGAGCUCCUGCUGCAUGGUGGGGGUUGGAAAGUUUCGGCGGUUGGGGAUGGACUCGCGGCCUAUCAGCUUGUUGGUGGGGUAGUGGCUUACCAAGGCUUUGACGGGUAGCCGGCCUGAGAGGGUGACCGGCCACAUUGGGACUGAGAUACGGCCCAGACUCCUACGGGAGGCAGCAGUGGGGAAUAUUGCACAAUGGGCGGAAGCCUGAUGCAGCAACGCCGCGUGCGGGAUGACGGCCUUCGGGUUGUAAACCGCUUUCGCCUGUGACGAAGCGUGAGUGACGGUAAUGGGUAAAGAAGCACCGGCUAACUACGUG
rnacentral:rRNA from 1 species